rnacentral:rRNA from 1 species
ACUAUCUGGUUGAUAGGUCGAAGGUGUAAGUGCAGCAAUGUAUUUAGCUUAUCGAUACUAAUAGGUCGAGGACUUGACCAAUAUUUAUUUGAUGUUCAUUCACU